ACGCUGGCGGCAUGGAUUAGGCAUGCAAGUCGAACGAAGCAGCAAUGCUUAGUGGCGCAAGGGUGAGGAACACGUGAGUGACCUUACCCGCAAGUUUGGAACACGCUCCUAGGGAAAACGGGAAUUUAAUACCGGAUGUGAUCAUAGGUCUGCAUGGAUUUUAUGAUUAAAGCAGCAAUGCGCUUGCGGAUGGGCUCGCGUCCCAUUAGCUGGUUGGUGAGGUAACGGCCCACCAAGGCGAUGAUGGGUAGCUGGUCUGAGAGGACGACCAGCCACACGUGGACUGAGAACUGCCCAGACCUCCUACGGGGAGGCUGCAGUCGAGUAAGUUUUGGGCAAUGGACGAAAGUCUGAACCCCCAGCAAUGCCGCGUGCGGGAUGAAGGUCUUCGGAUUGUAAACCGCUGUUUGGAGGGACGAAAUUUGACGGUACCUCCAGAGAAAGCCACGGCUAACUACGUGCCAGCAGCCGC
rnacentral:rRNA from 1 species